rnacentral:lncRNA from 1 species
UCUGCUGAGGAGUGACGAAACAUCUCCUAAGAGAGUCAAGCCUAGUUUAGUUAGGUUUUCGUAUGUGUGCUAGCUUUAUUUUAUUCUUCUUUGUUAUAUGUUUUCUUUAUAUCUGUUUUAUCGAAUUUUUAUAUAUGUAUAUAUGUUCAUAUGUGGGCUUUGGGAUUUUUGAUAUCAUGAAUAAAGCUCUACACCCGAG